rnacentral:rRNA from 1 species
AACGAACGCUGGCGGCGUGCCUAACACAUGCAAGUCGAACGGAGUGAAGGAGCUUGCUCUUUCAUUUAGUGGCGCACGGGUGAGUAACGCGUAGAUAAUCUGCCUUAGACUCUGGGAUAACAUUUCGAAAGGGGUGCUAAUACCGGAUAAGCCCACGAUGGCGUAAGUCAUUGCGGGAAAAGGGGCCUCUGCAUAUGCUCUUGAUCUAAGAUGAGUCUGCGUACCAUUAGCUAGUUGGUAGGGUAAGAGCCUACCAAGGCGACGAUGGUUAGCUGGUCUGAGAGGAUGAUCAGCCACACUGGGACUGAGACACGGCCCAGACUCCUACGGGAGGCAGCAGUGGGGAAUAUUGCGCAAUGGGCGAAAGCCUGACGCAGCCACGCCGCGUGAGCGAUGAAGGCCUCGGUCGUAAAGCUCUGUGGGAGGAGAAGAAUAAAGACUGUGAAGAGCAGGCC